UUCAAAGAAAAAAAACCCUGUUAAGUGCCGAUUUCACCAACGUCGAAUGACGUUUAACCGAGGAAUAAAUUAAGUGUAGUCAGUUUUUGUAU